AUCUUCUUCAUCUUGGUUGGAAAUUUCUUCAAAAAUUAAGUUUUUUUGUCGGUGUGGGAGAAAUGUUGUGAGGCGCAUUUCCCAUACAUCAAUUAACAAAGGAAGACUAUUAUACACUUCUCAAUGAACAAGGUAAUAUGGGUUGGAAAUUUUAUAUUAAAGGCCCAUAACCAAAUUUGGAAAAUUUUGGAUUCGGUUUUAUAGGGAUUAUAGUAAUAUGAGUUUGGUAUUAGGGUUUAUUUUUACAUUCAGUUUCAGAUUUAAAUUUGAACUUUUUUUAUAGGAUUAAAAUGGUUACUGUGGAUACUUUGUAUGAGUUGAUGAGUUAAUUUAAACACUUGCACAGGAUGAAGCACAUCCAACACAUGUAUUAGAUCAAGGAAGAGAUGGUGAGAUCCACCAAAGAAGAAAGAUUGAGAGGCACCAGAAUUCAGA
rnacentral:lncRNA from 1 species